AUCGCUUCUCGGCCUUUUGGCUAAUAUCAAAUGUAGUAUCUGCUCUGAUCAGUUUAAUAUCUGAUAUGUCCUCUAUUUGAGGAUUAUAAAUUUCCAGGUCAUGUUGCUUUCU
rnacentral:snRNA from 1 species